rnacentral:rRNA from 1 species
GUGGGGAAUAUUGGACAAUGGGCGCAAGCCUGAUCCAGCCAUGCCGCGUGAGUGAUGAAGGCCCUAGGGUUGUAAAGCUCUUUCACCGGUGAAGAUAAUGACGGUAACCGGAGAAGAAGCCCCGGCUAACUUCGUGCCAGCAGCCGCGGUAAUACGAAGGGGGCUAGCGUUGUUCGGAAUUACUGGGCGUAAAGCGCACGUAGGCGGGUAUUUAAGUCAGGGGUGAAAUCCCGGGGCUCAACCCCGGAACUGCCUUUGAAACUCCUGGUCUUGAGGUCGAGAGAGGUGAGUGGAAUUCCGAGUGUAGAGGUGAAAUUCGUAGAUAUUCGGAGGAACACCAGUGGCGAAGGCGGCUCACUGGCUCGAUACUGACGCUGAGGUGCGAAAGCGUGGGGAGCAAACAGGAUUAGAAACCCGGGUAGUCC